GUCGGGUGUGGUGGCUCACGCCUAUAAUCCCAGCACUUUGGGAGACUGAGGUGGGCGGAUCACCUGAGGCCAGGAGUUCGGGACCAGCCUGGCCAACAUGGUGAAACCCCGUCUCUA
rfam:Gorilla gorilla gorilla genomic chromosome, chr14, whole genome shotgun sequence